rnacentral:rRNA from 1 species
CCGUAACUAUAACGGUCCUAAGGUAGCGAAAUUCCUUGUCGGGCAAGUUCCGACCUGCACGAAUGGCAUAAUGAUGGCCACACUGUCUCCUCCUGAAACUCAGUGAAGUUGAAAUGUUUGUGAUGAUGCAAUCUCCCCGCGGCUAGACGGGAAGACCCCAUGAACCUUUACUGCAGCUUUGCAUUGGACUUUGAACCGAUCUGUGUAGGAUAGGUGGGAGGCAGUGAAGCUAGGACGCCAGUCUUAGCGGAGCCAACCUUGAAAUACCACCCUGAUUUGUUUGAGGUUCUAACCUAGGAGCGUGAUCCGCUUCGGGGACCGUGCAUGGUAGGCAGUUUGACUGGGGCGGUCUCCUCCUAAAGGGUAACGGAGGAGUGCGAAGGUACGCUAGGUACGGUCGGAAAUCGUGCUGAUAGUGCAAUGGCAAAAGCGUGCUUGACUGCGAGACCGACAAGUCGAGCAGAUACGAAAGUAGGUCAUAGUGAUCCGGUGGCUCUGCAUGGAAGGGCCAUCGCUCAACGGAUAAAAGGUACUCUGGGGAUAACAGGCUGAUACCGCCCAAGAGUUCAUAUCGACGGCGGUGUUUGGCACCUCGAUGUCGGCUCAUCUCAUCCUGGGGCUGUAGCCGGUCCCAAGGGUAUGGCUGUUCGCCAUUUAAAGAGGUACGUGAGCUGGGUUUAAAACGUCGUGAGACAGUUUUGUCCCUAUCUGCCGUGGGCGUUGGAAGAUUGACGGGGGCUGCUCCUAGUACGAGAGGACCGGAGUGGACUCACCUCUGGUGUACCGGUUGUCACGCCAGUGGCAUCGCCGGGUAGCUAUGUGGGGAAAGGAUAACCGCUGAAAGCAUCUAAGCGGGAAACCUGCCUGAAGAUAAGUCUUCCUGGAGGCUUUGACCUCCCUGAAGAGUCGUUCGAGACCAGGACGUUGAUAGGUUGGAUGUGCAAGCGCUGUGAGGCGUUGAGCUGACCAAUACUAAUUGCUCGUGAAGCUUGAUCCU